UAGUGUGUAUGCAGACCUUACCCCUACCUUCAAGAAGGAAGAGAGGUUGUUUCCAGAAGACCCUCGGCUUAGACACUUUGAAUCUUAAUGCAUAAAUAUUGCUUUAUUUACCGAAGUGUUUUAUCUUGAUAGAUGGGGAUCAGCACAGUGGAUUCAUCUGUAUCAGGCCUUGGGGGUUGUCCAUAUGCUAAAGGUGCCUCGGGUAAUGUGGCUACAGAGGAUGUCGUUUACAUGCUUAAUGGACUAGGAGUGAAGACAAAUGUGGAUCUGAGAAAGCUUCUAUUGGCUGGAGAUUUCAUCUGCAAACAUUUGGGUCGCCCUUCUGGUUCUAAGGCUGCCAUUGCCUUGAGUAGAACAUCUACUGCCUCAAAGCUUUAAGGGGGACAUCUGAUGUCUUUGAAUUUGUACACCGCUCCCGCUCUGAGGUGAAAAUCACUUCACACCAACUCAUACUGUACCAUAAUUUUCUUAAACAUAUCCAUGUCUAUGUGUUGUUGCCCUUCCUUUUUACUUUUCCUAAGCCGAGGGUCUACCGGAAACAGCCUCUCUAUCUUCUUGAACGUAGGGGUAGGGGUAAGGUAUGCGUACACACUACUACCCUCUUCAGACCCCACUUGUGAGAUUACACUGGGUUUGUUGUUGUUGUAUCCAUGUCGAUGUGACUGACUGGAUUGGUCUUUUGAAGGGUGAGAGUGGGAAGGAAGAGGAAGUUCUCAAUUGAGAACCAGUAGACCUGUAUAAUGCAAACUCAUUACUAUUAACAAGUUCAUUUACACUGAUACAGAGUCUAAUAAUACUUGU
rnacentral:lncRNA from 1 species